UAAGGUGGCUAUAGCGGGGAGGUUCCACCUCUUCCCAUUCCGAACAGAGAAGUUAAGCUCCCCAGCGCCGAUGGUACUGUCUGAAAAGAUGGGAGAGUAGGUCGCCGCCAACC
rnacentral:rRNA from 2 species